rnacentral:rRNA from 1 species
UACGGGGGGGGCAAGCGUUGUUCGGAAUUACUGGGCGUAAAGGGCUCGUAGGUGGCCAACUAAGUCAGACGUGAAAUCCCUCAGCUUAACUGGGGAACUGCGUCUGAUACUGGAUGGCUUGAGUUUGGGAGAGGGAUGCGGAAUUCCAGGUGUAGCGGUGAAAUGCGUAGAUAUCUGGAGGAACACCGGUGGCGAAGGCGGCAUCCUGGACAAACACUGACACUGAGGAGCGAAAGCCAGGGGAGCAAACGGG